AUUGAACGCUGGCGGCAGGCCUAACACAUGCAAGUUGAGCGGCGGCGGACGGGUGAGUAAUGCGUAAAGAACUUGCCUCACAGGCAGGGACAACAUUUGGAAACGAAUGCUAAUACCUAAUCCUGUGAAAGAGCUUUGCGUCCAAUUAGCUAGUUGGAGAGGUAACGUCUCACCAAGGUGAUGAUGGUUAGCCGGCCUGAGAGGGUGAUAGGCCACAAAGGAAAUGAGACACGUCACGUACUCCUACGGGAGGCAGCAGUGGGGGAUAUUUAGCAAUGGACCAAAGUCUGAAUCAGCAAUACUGUGUGAACGAUGAAGUUUUCGGAAUGUAAAGUGCUUUCAGUUGGGAAACGGUACCAACAGAAGAAGUGACGGCUCAAUACGUGCCAGCCGCCGCAGUAAUAC
rnacentral:rRNA from 1 species